rnacentral:rRNA from 1 species
CCAGUGACUUUGUUCAACGGCCGCGGUAUCCUAACCGUGCGAAGGUAGCGUAAUCACUUGUUCUUUAAAUGAGGACUAGUAUGAAUGGCACCACGAAGGUUAUACUGUCUCCUUUUUCUAAUCAGGAAACUAAUCUUCCCGUGAAGAAGCGGGAAUGAGAAUAUAAGACGAGAAGACCCUAUGGAGCUUUAAACAGAUAUACAACUGUCUACACCAUUAAAAAUUUCAGAAGAGAAAUAAUUACCCAGACAUUUUGAUAUAGAGUUUUAGGUUGGGGUGACCACGGAGCAAAAAACAACCUCCGCAAUGAAGGGAAUUUUCCCUAAACCAAGGACCACGACCCUAAGUAUCAAUAGAUUGACAUCAAUUGACCCAAUACAUUUGAUCAAUGAACCAAGUUACCCUAGGGAUAACAGCGCAAUCCACUUCAAGAGCUCCUAUCGACAAGUGGGUUUACGACCUCGAUGUUGGAUCAGGGUAUCCUAGUGGUGCAGCCGCUACUAAGGUUCGUGUUCAAC